GGUCAAUUUUGCGGAUGUUGACGAGUCGAGUAAAACAAAGAUGCAGUUUUUUUUUUUAAAUAAACGCGCUAUAGAGCAUUAUGCGACGAUAACAGUAAUGACAAUUGAUGAAUAGCAUUUAAGAAACACGUGGGAGUCGCGUUUUGUUGUAAACACUUUAAAAAAAAUAAAAAGGAAGUUAUAUGUUAUAUACACAGACUGUCCUGCUUUGCUUUUUAUUGCUUCGACGUUUCUUUAAACGUGAAAAUCAAACCACACAUACAAAAUACGUGGAUCACUUCAUUUUUAUUACUUAUUUGAGGUCCAUCACUUUCCAAAAUAUUAUAUCAACCACAUGUGAUAAUAAUAUGUGGGUAUCGAAAUAUUUUUUUUGGUGUCUAAAUAUACCAUCAAUAAGUCUAUAAAGGCUUUCAUGUUUCCAGGAAAAUAAAAUUAAAAGUAGUAUAAUUAAAAAAUGCGUUUAUGAGCUGCAGUACAUUUGGCUGGCCAAUGGAUGGCGUCAUAGAGCUUUACAUUCACACAUUUCGGCUUUGUUCAAAACUGAAUACUUUCUUUUCUUUUCUUUUCUGUUAAUCUGAGCAUAUGGCAUUGUAGGAUCCAAUACUUUAAACACUAUAGUUCACCCCAAAAUUAAAAUAUGCUAAAAAGGAUUUCACCCUUAGACUUUCCAAGGUGUUAAUAAAUUGGUCCUUCAACAGAUUUGGAGACAUUUGCUUUUAUCAGCUGUUUGGACGGCACCCAUCCACUGCAAAGGGACCCACUGUUUCUCUUUUAAAACAAAGAAGCUGGAUGUGUAAGUCAAACGGGAAGAAAGGAACCGCCUGUGGAUCUGAAUCAUGAACAGAGAGGGCCCUGGGGGAUCCCUUCAAGCUGCAUGGGAAUUUGACACAGGGGCCACGUUUCGACCGUUGACAUGAAGCUGUGACAGCCCUGAUCGUCCAGAUUUUCUUUUCUGCAUCUCAUUUAAUAAUUCGAGCUUUAAGUAAGGAGCCUCACUAGCUCAAGGUGAAAAACCAAAGGAUGUUGGAGCAGAAACCAGUUUUUAAGAACCUCGUGCUGGAUCUGUUUUUCUCCAGCCGUGAGUGCCGAUGGCGUCAUAGAAAGCUACAGCUGUGAUGCUGGUAAACCCGUCAUGUCAAUACAACCACAUUGAGGGAGUUCAGCAUCCCUGAGUUCAUAAACCAUCAUAACCCGCUGACCGUGGGGAAAACUGUGUGUUCUCUUUUAUAUGAUUGCAUGCAUGUGAGCCUUGCAAAGAGCAUGCAAAGUGCACAGUUGCCACACAUCUGAGCUUGUCACAGAAAGCAGCAGGACUGACACAUCUGUUAGACUGAGAUAUAAUUGCAGACACUAACUCGUGUGAACAAAGCAACCAAAUAAGAUCAACACAUUCCAGUGCACUGCACUCAUUAAUCUGUGAACCUCCAGUGUUCAUUUCAGAUUUUUCAAGCACAAAGUAUAUAGUAAUAUUGUGUGAUAUUGUACUUUUCCCUAAACUACUAUUAAGAGAGCUUAAGUGAAUUUGUAAUUGCAUCAAUCAGCAAUUUGAAGCCAGAGCAUUUGCCCUAAAUGAGCUAUAAAGAGAGAACAGUUGAUUACCUAGCAAACACCUAGUAUGAGUUCAUUGCUCACAUUAGUAAUACAGCAUUCAGAGCAUCACACAGAGCCUUCUCAUGUGCUUUAGUGAGCUACCUGCAAAGGCAAUAUUCAUAGGUCUUACAAAACUGCAUCUUAAUUAUACAUGUUUUGUAGAACAUUUCUGAGAAAUUGUUAGAAGUGUGUGUGUGUGGACCAACAUGAGGGUGAUGACAGAAUUUUCCUUUCUUGGUUUUAAUUUCCUUUAACCCUUAGCCUACUUUAUCAUGAUCCAAAUGCAAAUCUCAAAGGGCUCUAAAUUAAAACUUUGCUGUCCUACAAUCUACAACAUGCAUUGUGGCGUCUGAUUGAUAGCUUACUAUUUUUUGCCAAGUGAAUGGCCUUUUGGCAUAAUAAAAAUAACAAUAAUAAUAAUAAUAAUAAUAAUAAUUUAAAAAAAGAUUAGCUCGGAAAUCUUUACUGAAUUUUAUAAAUUAAAUGUAAAAUAUUUUCUAUUGUUAGUAUUUAAAGAUGAACACUGAUGGGACUGGAAACUGGCACUGGUUAGCUUGGAAACAUGUUAACAUCAAACUCUAUUGAAAUCAUUUGUAAGUUGAAUGCUGUUUGUGUAUGUAGAGCGUUUAUUACAUUAUAUGUUUUGCUCCCCACAAUAAAACUAAGCAUUAAAUAUAAAAAAAUGAGUAUAAACAUUUCAAUAUCAUCUUAUUAAGGAUAGACAAUUUCACCUUACUUUAAGCCAUAUAAAUAUCAGCAUCUGCAUCAAAAUGCAUAAUUUUGCUCAGUUUAGGCAUCUGAAUAAACUUUUAAAAAGUGGAAUAAACUUUUUCUGGUGGGAAAAUCUGACUGUUAUUUCUUAUGUCAAGCUUUAUGGUAUUAAGAUAUUUUAUUGUAGACUAAUUCAAAGGCAAUGUGACAUGUUCAGUGACAAAAUAAUAAUAAUAAUCCCAAGACGGUAUAAAAGUGAAGAGUAAUGUUGACUAGAAAUAUACUUACUGAAAUAUACACAACUGCUGAUUAUUUUUAUGCUUACCAAUAGUGUGCAGUUAGCUUGGAAACAUGUUAACAUCAAACUCUAUUGAAAUCAUUUGUGACUUGAAUGCUGUUUGUGUAUGCAGAGCGUUCCACAUCAGAAAUCAGUAGGCAUUGGGGCAGUGUACCAUUUUGGAACAAAGAUUUGGUGUCAUUUAUAAUAACAUUCACAUAAAUGAAAACCAAUGUCCUCAAACUGUUUCUUUCCCUCAACAAGUUGAAAGUUGAGUCAAACUUUCAGGUUUUCGUUAUUUACCAUUUGCAUUUAGAAUGCACAGACUUACAGCACUUCCUUUGGGGAAGAAAACACACUGUCAUCAUCAGGUCCUCAGUGCAUACUUCGAAAGCAUUCUCACUGAAAACAUCUGACCUGAAAAUAAAAUGGGGCUCAGAGCUCUGAAAUGACAAUGAAAAGCUGGGUUUCAAAAAUAAAUUGAAAUUUGGAAUUAAACUAAAUGUUUGUGUGACAUGAAAUGAAGAAAUAUUUAGGAUUCUGCUCUGUUUCUUAUUAUUAGUUGGUUACUGACAUUUUAAAUUCCACCUAAUUUGCUAUUUUCAGAUAGUAGUCAAUGAAUCUCUACACCUCUUUCGAUGAGUAUAUUCACUAGAAUUACCGGCCUAAUAAUUGUAUAGCAAGUUAACAAUCUCUUCUCUAAAAAUAAAUGAGGAUAUUUGCUGCUUAAGCAUGUGGGGCAAAAUGAAGCAUCACAUUACUCCAAAGUGCAAGCAUGUGGCAUAAUAUAUAUAUAGCAUUUAUCACUUCACACUGGGAAUUACUUUAGAGACUAAUUGACUUCAGCGGGAGCUGUCAAGUGAUUACAUGUUGUGAAAAAUGGAAGUAAUUAAAACAGAAAAUGUAUGUAUUCUACUAUAAGUACCUGAUAAUUGGUCAUCCGUAUAGGUUAC